rnacentral:tRNA from 1 species
GUUCUUGUAGUUAAAUUUUAUAACGGCGGCUUUUCAGGCCGUAGAUCUCGGAGAGAGGCCGAGUGGGAACUU